GACGAACGCUGGCGGCGUGCCUAAUACAUGCAAGUCGAGCGCAGGAAACUGACGGAACUCUUCGGAGGGAAGGCAGUGGAAUGAGCGGCGGACGGGUGAGCAACACGUAAGGAACCUGCCUCAAGGAUUGGGAUAACUCCGAGAAAUCGGAGCUAAUACCGGAUAGUUCAACGGACCGCAUGGUCCGCUGAUGAAAGGCGCUCCGGCGUCACCUUGAGAUGGCCUUGCGGUGCAUUAGCUAGUUGGUGGGGUAACGGCUCACCAAGGCGACGAUGCAUACACGACCUGAGAGGGUGACCAGCCACACUGGGACUGUGACACGGCCAAGACUCCUACGGGAGGAAGCAGUAGGGAAUCUUCCACAAUGGACGAAAGUCUGAUGGAGCAACGCCGCGUGAGUGAUGAAGGUUUUCGGAUCGUAAAACUCUGUUGUAAGGGAAGAACACGUACGAGAGGAAAUGCUCGUACCUUGACGGUACCUUACGAGAAAGCCACGGCUAACUACGUGCCAGCCGCCGCCGUAA
rnacentral:rRNA from 1 species